AUGGAGAUUCAACAUGGUCAUUUCUGUGACUUUUUAGAGUACCCGCAUAGUACUACAUGUUGGCAUUUUAACAAUAAUGGAAGAAGAGCACUUAAAGUGCUCUGGAGACAGAACACCAUAAGAAUAUGUCUAAUUAAAGCUGAAAAAAUUGCAUUAGAAGGAAAUGGUCACAGCCUCUCAUUAUAUUGGACUGGAAUGGGUGACAUCUUUCCCUUCGAGUUCGUGGUGUUUGUGAAUUCUAUUAAAUCAUUUGCCAGAGUACUCUGGACUAAAUUUUACAAGUUAAUUAGAAUGCCAGAAUGCUCUGAUAUCAUGUUAUGGAGAUUAUUAGGAAUCGGGAUUACUAAUGCAGGGGAAAACAAAAUGAAAAUGGAAAUCAGACCCCAAAGUCAAGAGGCAAAUUCUCUGUAAAGUGCAGAGGCUUGGGAGCCAAUCACUGAAACUGAAUUGCUACAUUCCCUUGGUACAGCACUUUCCAAAGCUGUCAGUACUAUGUGUCUGGCACACAUACCUGUUUGGAGGGGGCUCUCAUGCUCUUCGUAAAUGCCUUUGUUACUCUGAGAUUACAUUGCUAGUGCGUUAUGCUUUAGGGCUGUCAUCUUUAAAGUCACUGGCAAACACAGUGCAAAAUUCACUUGCUAUUAGAUCUAUUAAUGUACUUUCUAAAGGAAGCACCAUAAAAGCUGUGCUCAUUGAUGUGCCCUGGCUGUUAAUUGAUUUCUUGGGGUUUGCUGCCCUUUCAGUCCCACGUGUACUACCAUAUGGGGCGAGUAAAGCUCUGCCCAGGUGCCUUCCUCUCUGUCAGGCUGUGCUGGCCAGAGACGGCGCUCUUCCUCGGCGCUCGGCAGCUGGGUGGCUGCCCCCAGCGGCUCCCUCCGAGGAGCCGUGAUGUGGGAGGCCCCCAACUCACUUCAAUCAAAGUGAGGUUAAUUAAAGACAUUCAUGAAGCUGCCUACAAGUAAAGUGGCGGACUGCCCAAAGUUGAUUAGAAAAAGCCCUAAGGGCAUUAAUACUUUCAGCUGGCACAGAAUGAAUACUUAUCUAUAUAGAUGAUAUAAGGAAGCCCUGCUGACAGACUCAUUAAAAUGAGUGCUUUUUUUUUUUUUGGCAUAUCAUCCCUUUCCUUUUCCAAACUAUAUAGCUUAUUUUGCUCUUUGUACAGAAAUGCAGUCUCUGCCAUGCUAAUGUUUUGCUAUGUUUGGCUUCCUAAAUGUGGCAAGCAAAACUGAGCCCUGCCAAGGAGCAAACAAACAACAAGCCAGCAGUUUAAUGCUGCUGUCUUCCUUUAAAACUGUAGUACUGUCCAGAACCAAACCUGCUUAUCGCGCAGCAAUCAAACCUCUUCAGGGAAUCAUUCCACAACAUUUAGAUUCUUUUCCUGGUUAAUGACAGAUACUGAAAUAGAUGUACUUCACGUACACAUAAUUCAAAUUAUUCUUUCUGAUGUGUAAUCAUUUGUACCUGCCCACAUUGAUUUUCACCUGCCUAACAUAUUCCCCAACUGUCUUCUCCUCUUAGAGAUUUCUUUUUAUCUUGGCAAUCAAAUACUACCAGCUUUUCAUUUUAUCACGCCAGUUCCUUGUUCUGAUUUAAGGAUGGUAAUGGGCGGUGAUACAAAUAGCUUAGUUAUCCUGCUUUUUUUAUAAUAGACUGUUCUAAUUUGCUCAUAAUAUUCUGAAACUUGAAUGGUUUAGAAUGAGAUUAUUUCAGUCCAAGUAAAGCAGGGCAGCUCUGAAGGAUACUUACUGGUGUUUGCUUUCUAAAGAAGGCAGCUCAGCUCGAGUGAGGUGCUGGCCUUUCCCCACAUGAUCACUCUUUAGUGCUGUUCAUUUUAAAAAUAACGUUGAUAAAAACGGGAUUUUGCUCUAGCAAAUACUCACCGAGGCAUAUUUGGUGUCUUUGGAUAAGACAAUAGCUCUAUUGCAGGAAGUAAUGCCGUACUAUGAAAGCACAUAUAAGAAAUAGCAAAAAUACUUGGAAUUGUUUUAAUAGGAAUCUUUUGUUCUGGAAAAACAGCACUGAACACUAACAUCUCAUGCACGCUUCAUUUGCCUGGCUUUCCUUCCGACACCCCCCAGCCGCGCGCUUCCUGAAGCACCCGCGGAACGCGCCAACAAUCCGGCUCCGCGGAUUGAUUCCGCGCUGAUUAAACAACCCCCCGGGGCACGUUGAGCGCAGCGAUUCGGGGCGGCAGCUGCACUUCCCGGGAACCCACGCGCAGGUCCUUUGUACAGCAUGAAAAAAUAAAUAGGAAAAAAAAUAAAAAAGCGGGGGGGGG
rnacentral:lncRNA from 1 species